rnacentral:rRNA from 1 species
UACGGAGGGGGGCUAGCGUUGUUCGGAAUUACUGGGCGUAAAGCGCGCGUAGGCGGACCUGCAAGUCGGGGGGUGAAAGCCCGAGGCUCAACCUCGGAACUGCCUUCGAUACUGCGGGUCUCGAGUCCGGGAGAGGUGAGUGGAAUUCCUAGUGUAGAGGUGAAAUUCGUAGAUAUUAGGAAGAACACCAGUGGCGAAGGCGGCUCACUGGCUCGGGUACUGACGCUGAGGCGCGAAAAGCGUGGGGGAGCAAACAGGG